rnacentral:rRNA from 1 species
CCUACGGUAGACAGCAGUAGGGAAUCUUCCACAAUGGGCGAAAGCCUGAUGGAGCAACGCCGCGUGGGUGAAGAAGGUCUUCGGAUCGUAAAACCCUGUUGUUAGAGAAGAAAGUGCGUGAGAGUAACUGUUCACGUUUCGACGGUAUCUAACCAGAAAGCCACGGCUAACUACGUGCCAGCAGCCGCGGUAAUACGUAGGUGGCAAGCGUUAUCCGGAUUUAUUGGGCGUAAAGGGAACGCAGGCGGUCUUUUAAGUCUGAUGUGAAAGCCUUCGGCUUAACCGGAGGAGUGCAUUGGAAGAGGGGAGACGUGAGGGCAGAAGAGGAGAGUGGAACUCAAUGUGUAGCGGUGAAAGGCGUAGAGAUAUGGAAGAACACCAGUGGCGAAAGCGGCUCUCUGGUCUGUAACUGACGCUGAGGUUCGAAAGCGUGGGUAGCAAACAGGAUUAGAUACCCUAGUAGUC